AUACGUAGGUGGCGAGCGUUGUCCGGAAUUACUGGGUGUAAAGGGCGUGUAGGCGGGAAUGUAAGUCAGAUGUGAAAUACCAUGGCUCAACUGUGGGGCUGCAUCUGAAACUAUGUUUCUUGAGUGCUGGAGAGGAAAGCGGAAUUCCUAGUGUAGCGGUGAAAUGCGUAGAGAUUAGGAAGAACACCAGUGGCGAAGGCGCUUCUCUGGACUGUAACUGACGCUGAGGCUCGAAAGCGUGGGGAGC
rnacentral:rRNA from 1 species